UACGUAGGGUGCAAGCGUUAAUCGGAAUUACUGGGCGUAAAGCGUGCGCAGGCGGUGAUGUAAGACAGUUGUGAAAUCCCCGGGCUCAACCUGGGAACUGCAUCUGUGACUGCAUAGCUAGAGUACGGUAGAGGGGAUGGAAUUCCGCGUGUAGCAGUGAAAUGCGUAGAUAUGCGGAGGAACACCGAUGGCGAAGGCAAUCCCUGGACCUGUACUGACGCUCAUGCACGAAAGCGUGGGAGCAACAGG
rnacentral:rRNA from 1 species